UGCAAGAUCUAAGAUGGAUCUGGCCACUGGUAAGAACUGCUAAAAAAAUCCAUAUCUGGCUUUUUUUUCUCAACACAAAUGUAAGUCUUGCAACCUUAAUAUACAGGAUAUAGUGGGAGGUGGCAGUUACGCAAUCACCUGUUUUACUCCUUUAUAAAUGUCCUGCCUUCCCUCCGUCUCCUGUGAUUCAAUCCAAGACAGGAAAGUUGGCACAUUGCAGAAUCUUCACAACUCCUACUACGUACCUAAUACGCAGGUUCCACAAUGGGUUCCAGUCCUUCAUCCCAGAUCCCGGGUUCACACCGCUCCGGGUGCCCGAACUACGCAGGGAAUACUCUCUACGGGACAAAGGUGUGUCCCCGAACUGUGACACAAAAUAAUUCCAAAAUGCCUGGUGAGAACAGAGACCAAUGCAAGCCACGAACUGAAAUGUUAAAUUAUUUAGAUGAAAUUGCAGCAAAAGCCUUGUUCAACCAAAAACGCAAAGAGAAAAAAGGAGAUUGCCAAAACAGAGACAAAACAGAUGGACCCACGGACUGAUGGACAAGUUAAAUACCAGCUGGGUGGGCUUUAGAACUGGAAGUAACCAACUGAUGCUUCAAAUUUGACUCUGGGUAUAUUAUGGCACGAUAUUAUAUAUUUUCCUUUUUCCAGAUAGAACAAACAUUCUGACCAAUGUACCAAUUCUAUAUUCAUUCUCUAUCGCACGCACAUGCACGCACAGUAUAUGUGCUCCUGUUGUAGAUUAUACUGUAUGUUGUCUGUUGCUCACUGACCAAUUACUGUUGGAACACAAAAAUUUGCAUUAACACCAUGAUGAAGUAUUUAUACCACAGUGGGGCCUAAAGACAUACAAUGUUUUGUCGUCAAGUGUUUGAAUGUUGGAUUUCAUGAGGAUUCAUCCCCUAUUUCUCGAUUAAUGUAUUUAAAAAGUGCAUUUGCCAUCAUUAUUUGCUGACAUUUUGUCCACUUUUUUUUAGGUGGUGCACCUUCUCAAUCAUGUAACUUCUGUGAUUGUCUCUCACAAUAGUCAUAUAAUAGGUAGCCCCUCCUACUGGCUCCUGAUUAAAAGAUGUGACCGAAAGCUGUCAGUGACAACUUGGCCAGUGUGGUUAGAGCAUGCUCUUGUACACAACCUCAGGCUGCCAUGGAUCCAUAUGUGUGAUAUGUGGUCUUUUUUUUCCAUGUUAAAUAGGAACUGAACUCUGGAAGAUGUGCAAGCAGAGGAGUAUUCAUUUGUUUUUUUGUGUGGUCUCCCUGCAUCUGAUCCUUUCCCAUUACUCACAAGGCCAUCUUUAAUAUUAAUUGGACCCUGGGCAAACAUUUUCUUGCCCCCCCCUCCAUUCAAUUUCACUCUCAUAUUACACAGGACUCCUCCCCCAUACUACCCCUAUCUUUACAUAGGACCCCUCUCCCAUACUACCCCAACAUUAAACAAGACCUCCUCCCCCAUACUACCCCCAUUAUUACAUAGGACCCCCUCCACCAUUACUACCCCUAUCAUUACCCAGGACCCCCUCCCCUAUACUAUCCCCAUCAUUAAAUAGGACCCCCACCUUCAUACUACCGCUUGCAUUACACAGGAACCCCCUCCCCUCCUUCCACAGACCUCUGCAUCCCCCCCCCCACCCAACUAGUGUCCACAGGAUGUCAGGCAAACACCAGGCACACCUCCGCCGAACCUUUAGGCAAAGAAGUUCCUCAGUGGGCCAAUGGUCUGCAGCUUUUUGGACAUGGUGAGGAAGAGGGGUCAGUGGGAAUGUGCCUGGGACUGAUAGGUGCUUUCCUCACACAAGGUUUACCAAGCUGGCCAAUCACUGUACAGGCUGCAGACAUAACACCCAACUAAUCACCAGAGCCCCUAACAUUCAAUUCUGCCCUCAUCACCUGAGUGAUGGCCAAAUCAACUUAUCAAUCAUUUGUGGGCAGUGGCGCAGCGUGGACUUAAGGGGUGGCUCAGCUGCUUUGGGCCCCUCGCUAUUGGCUUUUGCGCCACGUUAAAGACAGCUUUGAUUACGUACUUUACAUGGCUCAUUUUGCACUGUCUCUAUGUGGAGGUGCUCCUUUGGGUACAAGCAGAGCUUUGCUUCCUCAUGUCAGAACCUCCAGCAAGCAGAACAAUGAGCAGCACAGCAGUAACAUCACCAGAUCUCACUCCAAAUCUUCUGAUACCAGCAGUCAGAGGCAGCAGUGCCUUAGAUCUCACACGGCAGAUAUACAGCCAUAAAGCUGUGGGCAUAGCAGGACAUAGGCACCCUCACCAGGAUGUGUGCUGCUACUUUUAAGAAAGAAUUGAGUAUAAAAAGUAAAUUUUUCAUGGGCACACUUUUUAGUUGUUCGUAUAACAAGACAAAUCUUCACUUUUGGGUACAGGUCCAUUUUAAAUGCUAGUCUCAGAAACAUUGUCCGUAUAUGGGAAAGAAUUAACCCUAUUCACAAGGACAUAUUCCAGAAAUUCUGAAAGUAUCCCUGUGCGAUGGAUGCAUCAGGUAGUUGGAAAUGCUAUUAUCUCCCUCUUGCAGAACAGAGACAGCUAAAUAGCUGAAAGAGUUGCUUGGAAACAAAAGUAUUUUUUGCAGAUAUUACGUUGUAUACACCUAUUUAUGUAUAAUCCAGCAUUUGUUUUAGACAUGUGUACUGCUCUUGUCCUAAAUUCAUAUUCAUCACAAGUUCAGUUUACAUUUGCCAAACAUACACAUUCCCGUAGCGUGCAUGCGCCUAUCAGUAAAACUGCCUCCUGGGAUGUGUGAAGUGGACAUCCUAGGAGGCAGUGAUGGGGGUCUUACUUUAUUCCCACCUAGACAAGAUAGUGGGAAGUGCUGAACUGCAGCACUAAGGGUUAAAAUCUUUACAAAAUAUAAGGAAAGAUUAGGCAUUUCUGGAAGGAGGCAAAGAAAAAAUAAAGCUAUUUAAUGGGUGAUGGUCUGCUUUAAUUCAUAUUUUACACGAUUUGUAUUUUUCUUUAUUCACUAUUUAGAUUUAUAUGUACUCUUGUAUCCAGGCAAAUAAUCUCCAAAUCAUCAUCAUCACCAGUCACUAAUGUGCAAGAUACUAGUUACAACUAGUGAGAACUUUGCUGCCUUUUUCAUGCAAUCAAAACAGGGAAUCUGAGAUACAGUUACUGCCAAUGUUACUUCUUGACACACUAAGUUGAUUUGCUUAAAGCGGAGUUCCACCCAAAAGUGGAACUUCCGCUUUAAGCACUGCUCAUCCCCUUAGG